rnacentral:rRNA from 1 species
CCUACGGGAGGCUGCAGUGGGGAAUUUUGGACAAUGGGGGCAACCCUGAUCCAGCCAUUCCGCGUGAGUGAAGAAGGCCUUCGGGUUGUAAAGCUCUUUCGCAAGGGAAGAAAACUUACUCAAUAACACUGGGUGAGGCUGACGGUACCUUGAUAAGAAGCACCGGCUAACUACGUGCCAGCAGCCGCGGUAAUACGUAGGGUGCGUGCGUUAAUCGGAAUUACCGGGCGUAAAUCGGGAGGACAGAGGUGAAAGCCCCGGGCUCAACCUGGGAACUGCGUUUGAAACUACAAGGCUAGAGUAUGGCAGAGGGGGGUAGAAUUCCACGUGUAGCAGUGAAAUGCGUAGAGAUGUGGAGGAAUACCAAUGGCGAAGGCAGCCCCCUGGGUCAAUACUGACGCUCAUGCACGAAAGCGUGGGGAGCAAACAGGAUUAGAUACCCCUGAAGUC